GCGACCCCAAUCUACGUGGCGGUCCGCAAUUCGCUACUUCAUACUGACUGGCGUCCAGCAUCGUCCCGAAUUUGGCCACAAUCUGCUCUCGGGACCCUGUAGGGCUCCCUGACCUGCUCCAUCUCCGCCAUCGUCAAUGUACUGCGCAUCCACCCAGGCCAGGACUGCACUUACUUAAGGGAAGGAGUAUUUGCAAGAUGGAACCUGGGAACUGGAAGACGACGAAGAGGAAGCGUGGGAAUCCGGCGGCUAUGGCUGGGAUGUAAGUCCAACAUUGCUGGUGCCAGAGUUGCCACUGCUUGCUUAUAAGGGAAUCAUGUGUGUUGCCUUUUUGCCUUUUCCGACGCCCUCCUCCGACUGUACUCCCGAUCCCAGGACUGAACUUACGGGAAGGAGUGCUUCCAAGAUGGGAGACGAAGAAGAAGAAGCCGCUGAAUCCGGCGGCAAUAGCUGGGAUGCUGCGUUCUCGAGAGGAAGCGUUAUUUCUGCAUUCCAAGAAGGACGGCACAAUGUGUCGGACUGUCCGCGUCGCAUUGAACUGGUCCGAUGAGGCUGCUAUUGCACACACAGUGAGGGAACUCCCAUACGGGAACUCGGAAGUACUGCUACAGUACAGGUAUAUCACCCCGUGACGACCACAUCGAAGUCUGAAAUUGAAGUGUGAAGAUGCUUCAGCAACCCCUUCAUAUUUUUCCAUUGCUUUUAUUGUGCUUCUACUGUGCAUGUGUGUAACUUGUGGGGUAUGCAUGUGAUGACAAUGUAUGCCGGUGACACGGUCAGAUUUUGUCCAUGCGUGUAACGUACACCUGCAUGCUAUCGUUGAAAAGGAUCUGCCAGUUACGAUCUUCGGACGAGUAUCAGGUCAGCUUGGUUUUGUGUGGGCUGUACCAGAUGCUGUUCACUUCUCUAUCUGUUGGAUAUGUGACUUUCUGCAAGUUUCUGGUGUAUGGUGGCCACUUCUUUGCUUGUCUUUGUAUGACAUUACAAUAAUUCUGUAUUCACUGCUUCCAUGGUGUGGUCUGCAAACUGCAAUCCUUAGGCGAAUAUCAAA